rnacentral:rRNA from 1 species
UACGUAGGGUGCGAGCGUUGUCCGGAAUUAUUGGGCGUAAAGAGCUCGUAGGCGGUGUGUCACGUCGUUCGUGAAAACCUGCAGCUUAACUGUGGGCGUGCGGUCGAUACGGGCAUCACUGGAGUUCGGCAGGGGAGACUGGAAUUCCUGGUGUAGCGGUGAAAUGCGCAGAUAUCAGGAGGAACACCGGUGGCGAAGGCGGGUCUCUGGGCCAUAACUGACGCUGAGGAGCGAAAGCGUGGGGAGCGAACAGG